UACGAAGGGUGCAAGCGUUACUCGGAAUUACUGGGCGUAAAGCGUGCGUAGGUGGUUUGUUAAGUCUGUUGUGAAAGCCCCGGGCUCAACCUGGGAAUUGCAUUCGAAACUGCGAGGCUAGGGUACGGAAGAGGGAAGCGGAAUUUCUGGUGUAGCGGUGAAAUGCGUAGAUAUCAGAAGGAACAUCAGUGGCGAAAGCGGCUUCCUGGUCCAGUACCGACGUUCAGGCACGAAAGCGUGGGGAGCAAACAGG
rnacentral:rRNA from 1 species